GAUGAAGAACGCAGCGAAAUGCGAUAAGUAAUGUGAAUUGCAGAAUUCAGUGAAUCAUCGAAUCUUUGAACGCACCUUGCGCCCUUUGGCCAUUCCGAAGGGCAUGCCUGUUUGAGUAUCAUGAACACCUCAACUCUUUAUGGUUUUCCAUGAUGAGCUUGGACUUUGGGGGUUUUGCUGGCCUAUGGUCGGCUCCUCUAAAAUAAAUCAGCUUACCGGUGUUUGGUGGGUAUCAUGGGUGUGAUAACUAUCUACGCUUGUGGUUUUUCCACCAGGUAACCCUCGACAGCGGAGGUUCACUGGAGCUCAUAGAUGUCUCUCCUCAGCGAGGACAGCCCUUUGAAUGUUUGAUCUCAAAUCAGGUAGGACUACCCGCUGAACUUAAGCAUAUCAAUAAGCGGAGGA
rnacentral:misc_RNA from 1 species